rnacentral:rRNA from 1 species
CCUACGGGCGGCUGCAGUGGGGAAUAUUGGACAAUGGGGGCAACCCUGAUCCAGCCAUGCCGCGUGUGUGAAGAAGGCCCUCGGGUUGUAAAGCACUUUCAGUGAGGAAGAACGCCUGGUGGUUAAUACCCAUCAGGAAAGACAUCACUCACAGAAGAAGCACCGGCUAACUCCGUGCCAGCAGCCGCGGUAAUACGGAGGGUGCGAGCGUUAAUCGGAAUUACUGGGCGUAAAGCGCGCGUAGGUGGCUUGAUAAGCCGGUUGUGAAAGCCCCGGGCUCAACCUGGGAACGGCAUCCGGAACUGUCAAGCUAGAGUGCAGGAGAGGAAGGUAGAAUUCCCGGUGUAGCGGUGAAAUGCGUAGAGAUCGGGAGGAAUACCAGUGGCGAAGGCGGCCUUCUGGACUGACACUGGCACUGAGGUGCGAAAGCGUGGGUAGCAAACAGGAUUAGAUACCCUGGUAGUC